GUAUAAGUUUUAAAAGACGCGAGCGCCUUGUAUACAUUCGUAAGACGUUACAGGGUGUGAUAAAAGUAUACAUAGGCCGAUUGCUCAGCCUACAACAGGUGCACAGGUGUGAGAUGAAUGAAUAAAAGGGGAGCGUGCACGAUACCUUGCGGCCAGCAACAACUCCCUUCUUAUUUUUAAUUCAUUAAUGAUCCUUCCGCAGGUUCACCUACGGAAA
rnacentral:misc_RNA from 1 species